GGGCAUUUCAUCAAGUCAGGGUUUCUUACAGUGGCAACAGUGUUUUAGUUCCUGAUAUGCCAGUGAAGCAGAUAGAUGGCACCUGAUGUUUUCGUACAGAAGCCCCUUCUGGUGACCUGUCCAAGGUAUGCAUGCAUGCCCUGCCCUGAAGAGGAAUGAUGGUUCAUGUGUGUAAUGCAUGGCCCAAGGACAGCAGUAUGACCUCAGGCAGCAGCACAAACCGGUUUGUUUGGGUAGCCCGGACUGUUCUGGAACUCACUCUGUAGACCAGAAUGGCCUCGAAUUCAGAGAUGCACUUCCCUCUGCUUCUUUAAUGCUGGGAUUAAAGGCACGGACCACCGUCAUG